rnacentral:rRNA from 1 species
UGAGCAAUCUGCCCUUCUCUUUGGAAUAAGCGUUGGAAACGACGUCUAAUGCCGAAUACGACCUCCUUUCGCAUGAUCGGAGGUGGAAAGCUCCGGCGGAGAAGGAUGAGCUCGCGGCCUAUCAGCUAGUUGGUGUGGGUAUGGCCCACCAAGGCGACGACGGGUAGCCGGCCUGAGAGGGUGACCCGGCCACACGUGGGACUGAGACACGGCCCAGACCUCCGUACGGGAGGNAGCG